ACGGCCGUACCAUGCUGAAUAUACCGGUUCUCGUUAGAUCACCGAAGUCAAGCAUCACUGGGCGCGGUCAGUACUUGGGUGGGUGACCACCUGGGAACACCGCGUGCCGUCG
rnacentral:rRNA from 1 species